rnacentral:rRNA from 1 species
GACGAACCGUGCGAACGUUAUUCGGAAUCACUGGGCUUAAAGGGCGCGUAGGCGGGCUGUCAAGUCUGGGGUGAAAUCCCACGGCUCAACCGUGGAACUGCCUCAGAUACUGACGGCCUCGAGGAAGGUAGGGGCAUGCGGAACUGUAGGUGGAGCGGUGAAAUGCGUUGAUAUCUACAGGAACUCCGGUGGCGAAAGCGGCGUGCUGGACCUUUUCUGACGCUGAGGCGCGAAAGCCAGGGGAGCGAACGGG